rnacentral:rRNA from 1 species
AUUGAAAGCUGGCGGCAGGCUUAACACAUGCAAGUCGAACUAGUUUCGGACGGGUGAGUAAUGUCUGGUAAACUGCCUGAUGGAGGGGGCUAACUACUGAAACCGGUACCUCAUACCGUAUACCAUCGGUUUUGCACAGCUGGGAUUCGCUAGUAUGUGGGGUAAAGGCUCACCUCGGCGACGAUGCCUAGCUGGUCUGAGAGGAUGACCAGCCACACUGGAACUGAGACACGAUCCAGACUCCUACGGGAGGCAGCAGUGGGGAAUAUUGCACAAUGGGCGAAAGCCUGAUGCAGCCAUGCCGCGUGUAUGAAGAAGGCCUUCGGGUUGUAAAGUACUGUCAGCGGGGAGGCGGUACCCACAGAAGAAGCACCGGCUAACUCCGUGCCAGCAGCCGCGGUAAUUC